rnacentral:lncRNA from 1 species
GAUAAUAACCUUACGAACAAUACUAAAUAGUAAUGAAACAGGAUUUUCACCCCUCUGAAAUGAUCAACAGAACUUUAGCAUCUGCGUCUUCAGUGGCUGUUUUAUUGCAAGAUCAGUAGCUCAGAUGUUGUAGGUUCUUGUAGGGCAACUGAGGGGGCCUUAAAUGUCUCUCUACAAAACGUGAACAGGGGCUUACACAUAAGGUGGUUGUUGCUGAGAUGAUCUCCCCCAAGCUGACUGAAUGACCCAUUGCAGAUGUGGAAAUGUAAAAAUAUUUUGUAUAUGUCUUCAGUGUGGUUUUUCUUGUUCUUUCUUUCUUUAUUUUUUGAUUUUAUUUUUUUGUGGGAGUUGGUAUAACCGAGUAUAUAGGAAAAAUAACUGAUCUCCAAAAUUUAUUAUUUCCCUUCCAUCUUCCUGUCUACCCUUCUCUUCCUUAAAUUAAGGCCAAGGGACUUUACAGGAAUUUAUCACACAAACAGCUAUAAAGCUUUUAAUAUUUAUAACAUGAUCUAGUUUGUUUCAUUGUCUGAGCUCUCUGGUAAAAAUAGCGCUGCCUGCAAGGCAGUAUUUCCAAGCUCUUGGUUCAUCUAAGAAUUCUUCUCUGCUUACUCAGCUGCCAGCUUAGACUCUGCUUUGAAGCUGUGUACACCACCCCUAACAGUAGCUGGCCCUCAAACUAUAAACAAACCGGCCUUUUAUCACUGGAGAGCAAAUAAGGUCUGCUUUUUCUCCUAGUUCUUGAGUUUUGUAACCCUGGAUUUGCGAGUCGUGUUGGGAAGAUGGGUGGGGACCUGCUGCACAGGUCCCCUCCCUUUUCCAGCCUGUUCCCCUCCUGCUGCCUAUUGAUUUCCUUGGCAGCAUGGAGAGAAGAAGUGGUGAGCAGGAGCAGCCUACCAACUGCGGCAGCAGACUCUCUCUCCUCCCUCCCAGGAGCUGAGAACGGACUUGGCUCAGCUCCCAAAAUACAGGUCUAGAAAGUUUUUGGUUGCAGAAGAAGCAGGAGGUACAAACAUCUAGGAUCAAGCCCAUCUAAUUAUUUCCCAGAGGGGAAUGCUCGCUUGGGAUGCUGCGAAAACACGGCUGGGUAUUAUUAACCCUUGAAGAAGCAGUGGUGAUCUCAGUGGUGCACUUCUGUCAUGCAGGAGCUGCUCUUUUUGUUCAGGAAUGGGUUUGAUUUUUCGCUAGGAGCAUUUUCUAUGAGUAGGUGGUCAGGUAGGGGAUUUCCUUCCUUCUCCAUUAAUGCCGUUCUGUGAGCUGGAAGCAAAACCCCCUGCAUACCAUUAAGGGAGGAAAUAAGUGGGAGUGAUGGGCUAGGUUAUACACCUGGUGUCCUGUGGUGACAAUAUGAUCCUUGGUGAUGUGACUGUGGUCCCACCAAACUGCAGGUCAGAAAGAGUUUGAGUAUAUUUCAACAGCAAAUGAGUUUGGGAGACUGAAAACCAGAGUUAAAGGCCAACAUGGUAAAGAGACAUGAACUGUGGAAGAGUGAAAGCAGUUUGGAAGAUCUUCUAUAUCAUAGCAUUAACACAGGCAAUGUGAGGGAGACACUAUUUAAAAAAACAAAGAUUUGGCAACGUAUGGUUUCUACUCUUAGUACAGAGGGGACUUAAUUCAACUAAUAUUAGGCAGAAAGGCCUUUGUUGAAGGAAAGGAGACAGGGAAGCUGGGGUUGGAUGAGCAGCAAGAUGUUGCAAGGCGAGGCACAAACGCCAGAGGGUACUCAUGUGAGUGAACCCUGGCCACAGGAUAAGUGCUCGAAUUGCUUCUGAUUAAAGUUUGCAGUUGUGCUCACAAUGAAUAUGGUCUAUGUGGGGGGGACUCCUCUAGUAGGAUGUGGGAGAGUCUCAAAUUUCAGUAUCAUGAUUCAUUUCCCCAGUGAGUUGACCAAAGGAGGGAGUAUGGUGGGAAGCCGCCAUGAAAAAUACUCCAAGAAAUGGCAGGGAACAAAAAAACCACCAUCAGAAUUUCAGAAAUCCUGACCUAGCUCUUCUGGCUGACGUAAAAUCUCCCCGAGUUCACUCCUGCAAAUGUGGAUUUCACUGUUUCCAGGGAAAUAUUUGGCACUUUUUCAAAUUUCAGUAGAUUUUGGGACACUGGUCUCACACAGCGCUUGCUGCUUGAGUAGCUGGCUGAGAUGGGAGAUGUUUUGGCAAGGGUGGAUGAGACUGACAAUCUUGGUUCAGGGCAGGAGCUGCAAGAUGCAAGUUGCACCAGCCUAACAAGUUUGAUGCAAGCUCUUCAGGUUGCAUAUGUAUAAUGUCUGCAUCUUAAGAUGAAGCAGAAUUCAGUUAUGAGGAAAAUAAAAAGUAUGGGUCACAGACCAUUGGUGGAAAAAGAUACGCAAGGUUCUCUGGUGGCAUUCUGUUAUUACUACCUACCUUGCAGCCUUCAAUCCCUUGCCACCUUCUCCCUUUGCUGAAGCACAGUGACCUGUGGUGGCAUGGGUGCUGCAUGUGCACUGAGGCAACAACUAACUACAUGUCCCCUGGAGAGCACCUUGGGCUGGUUCUAUGUUGUGGAAGGCAGUACUGUGUUCUAUAUGCUCAUGCUGCUUUUGUUCUCUAGGACAAAAAAGCACUUCUUCUGGAAAGUUAACAGGGCAGAACUGGUAGGAGAUUCUUUCCCAGUCAUCACAAGAUCUGAUUCUUUUUUUUUUCUAAUUUUUAUUUUUUUGUGUCAAAUCUGAUCUGUUUGGUUUAAUAGAGCCAUUGAUUUAUGGCUACAGGGGUGAAAUAAAAAAUAGGAUCUUGUUGAUUAAGAGGAGUUGAGUGGACUUCUGAAUAAAUGAGAAAGGGAAAUUAGAGAAGUAAAAACAGGCACUGUAUCUUUGAGCACUAUACUAAGUAAAAGUUCAUUUUGCUUUUGUGCGUUCAUUUGCUCUGAGCCUAUAUCUGGAAAUUUUUAAUGGCAUUCUCCUACGAGUUACUAGACAGUGAGAGCAUCUUGAACUUUCAAAAUAUAGCUGCAGUUAACUCUGUGAAAUGCUUAGGAACCAGCAGCUGCGUACUGUGUUGUGGUAUCUGAGAAAGCAACAUCUGACUUUUCUGUUCCUUCCCAGCCCUCCCAGUCUAAAACCACUGCACAUCACAUCAGGUGGCUUUCAAAAUGAUGAGCUUGCCACUAGAUCCUCUUGUCAUUGCCCUGUUCACUGCAACUUCUGAGAACCAUUUUUUAAAUAGGUAUAUAAAGGCUGGAGAUGCCAGAGUAUGUAAACACAGGUGAAUCUAGCUGUUAAUAGGUUAGAGAACUGGCACUCUAUUGUAAGGUAACAGAUACAGUGCUGCAUUUUAGAUGGAAAGUUAUUCUUCAAAUAGAAGUUGUUUUGCUAUGUACUUGGACUAUUAAUUAUGCUUUCAAUUCAGAAACGCACAAAGCACCAUUUGUGUGCAUCUUCAGCAAAGUUCAUGUGGAAACACUGAAUCAUCCAAAUCAUCUGAAUGAUGCAUACUAUUCAGGGGCUGUUUUCUUCAGCAGGCAGCUGGUGAUCUCUCUUCCUGUAUUCAUGGGGCAGUUUUGAGGGGGUGGUAAGAAAAGGAAGAGGGGAAGGAGUCCCAGGUGUCAGGGCAGCCCUCUUGGUUCACAUAUGCAAACUGUAAAGUCAUCUCUAGACUUGUGUAGGAGCUCUCAGAGAUGAAAUUGCAGGACUUGUCAGCUCUUGCUACACCUCUUCUGAAGAGCAUAUAUUUGAAAAGUCAAGGCAUAGAUCUGCCAGUUGCCACAUUUUCCUGUCAGCACAGCAAGUCCCCUCAACACGCAAAGGAAGAAAAUCUGACUCAUGUCAAACUCUUGAUGCAAGUUACACAAGAUGCAACUUUAUGCCUGUAUGAGAGGUAUAUUUCUCUUGUUUUUUUUCCCCCCUUCUGUUUAAACUGAGUGUGUACAAUAAAUUUUCAGUCAUUGAGAUUAUGAUGCCAGUAAAGAAUCCUGGAAGUGUUUUUUCUGUGGUUCCCUC